rnacentral:pre_miRNA from 1 species
UAAGUACUCCCUCCGUCCCAAAAUUCUUGUCUUAGAUUUGUCUAGAUAUGGAUGUAUCUAACACUAAAACGUAACUAGAUACAUCCGUAUUUAGACAAAUCUAAGACAAGAAUUUUGAGACGGAGGGAGUACGAC